ensembl:lncRNA
UAAGCAGUUUCACCUGGAGCACCAUGGAUGACUCCAGGAGCCGCCAGAUGGAGGCCAUCUACCACCUGCUGGAGAGUUACAGGCUUGAGAAGUACUAUAAAGUAUUUCUAGAUAAAGGUGUCGCAGAUGAAAGGGACUUUAUUGACAGUGUAACUGAUGAGGAUCUGCAGGAAAUGGGCCUGAGUCAAAUGGAGAAGAAUCGCUUUGACAAAAUGAAAGAUCAUAUGAGAAGGCUCAGAUCCCGGCCCGACCACUCGGCUGUCCAGAAGACAUUGGAGGAAUUCUGCCUUCAAUACACGUUCCCUCAGUGUCCUGAGCCAAGAAGUAUCCGAGACAUGGAUCCUGCACAGAACACAGUUGAUGAUUUAAUGCUGAGGAUUUGUCAUCUUGAAAACGUUGGCAACAGUAAAGGUGUCUGUCUGUACACGGUGGACGGAAUGCCCCUGACGGAUGACCCCUUCUUCAACACGUGGUCUUUAAAAGACAGACAUAUCAAUGACAAAGACAAACUGUAUGCUAUAUUCACACCAAGGCAGAACCUAGUCAACAGUAUUGUGAUGAGAAACCCGACAGUGGAAGAAACCCCAGGAGAGGAUACGGUUUGGUGUCACAUAAUGCUUAAGGGAAACUUUGAAAUAUCAGUAAACUUGAGGUCUGACACCAUUACCAAUUUGAAAGACAAAUUGUCAAAUGAAAGUGGAAUACCAGCACAUGCUCUACAUUACCAGCUCUACUGCUCUUCAACAGAGGGUACCACAGUGGUAGUGACGUUUUGCUUGAUUUGGGUAUUUCCGAAGACAGAGGUUCAAAGCUGAACUUUUCCUUGUCUUCGUUUCAUGAAGAGAUGCCAGACAAUGAUGCGAUGUUCAGUAAUGAUGUUGAACCCUCGGUCCAACAAAGCACUAAAGGACUGAGUGUGUUCCUCUCCUCACUUUAUUCUGUGGUAAUUUAUCAUAGUUUCUACAUUAAAAUCCUCACUUUUUAUUU